AUUCUCACCAUCUUUGGUGCUGGUCCAAGAGAAAUCCUAGCUCGGGUGAUGAUGCCAAAUUGUCCAAGCCCACCAAGAACAGCAUAGAAGAGGUCAGCAUUUUGUUUCUCAGAACAGUGCAUCUUAUCUUGAAGGGCAAAUCUAUUAAAGACUCACGAUCAGAGCACCUCAUUAUUGUGGAUAGAGGGUAUCAUUGUUAUUUCAUCCGAAUCAAGGGACUAAAUGGAUUGAUGGAACAUUACCUGUGACAACUUCAAGCUGGUAGACGUUGUUGAUCUGGGGUCCAUGCUGGAAUGCCUGCCCG